AACGCACAUUGCGCCUUUUGGUAUUCCGAUAGGCAUGUCUGUUUGAGCGUCAUUACAACCCUCGGUUCGGUUUUAUUUUGACCGUGCACCGGUAUUGGGCCGUUGGACCUGACCUUCUGGGUCAGCCCUGGCUUUAAAGUUGACGCUUUCCGGGCUACGGAUGUGAGCAAACAUAGUACAGAAUUCAUUUUCAUGCCCUGUUAGCUUUUCUCAUCCGGUACGCACCGCCUGCAACCAAAAAGUCAUCCGUAAAAAAGGUGAUUUUUUCAGGUUUGACCUCAGAUCAGACAAGGAUACCCGCUGAACUUAA
rnacentral:misc_RNA from 1 species